rnacentral:snRNA from 1 species
UGGUUUCUCUUCAGAUUGUGUAAAUCUUUUGCCUUUUACUAAAGAUUUCUGUGGAGAGGAACAAUUUA